rnacentral:tRNA from 1 species
GCCGGGUUAGUUUAAUGGUAGAACAGAGAGCUUGUACCUCUCGGGCGUCCGCUCGAUUCGGACACGCGGCUCCA